AACGCGAAGAACCUUACCUGGCCUUGACAUCCACGGAAUUCUGCAGAGAUGCGGAAGUGCCUUCGGGAACCGUGAGACAGGUGCUGCAUGGCUGUCGUCAGCUCGUGUCGUGAGAUGUUGGGUUAAGUCCCGCAACGAGCGCAACCCUUGUCCCUAGUUGCCAUCAUUCAGUUGGGCACUCUACGGAGACUGCCCGUGUUAAGCGGGAGGAAGGUGGGGACGACGUCAAGUCAUCAUGGCCUUUAUACCCAGGGCUACACACGUGCUACAAUGGCCGGUACAGAGGGAUGCGAGCCAGCGAUGGCAAGCCAAUCCCUCAAAGCCGCCCUCAGUGCGGAUUGGAGGCUGCAACUCGCCUCCAUGAAGCUGGAAUCGCUAGUAAUCGUGGAUCAGCUACGCCACGGUGAAUACGUUCCCGGGUCUUGUACACACCG
rnacentral:rRNA from 1 species